UGCUUCGAGCGGAUAGUUAAU
rnacentral:piRNA from 1 species